GGGCCCGCACAAGCAGUGGAGUAUGUGGUUUAAUUCGAAGCAACGCGAAAAACCUUACCAGGUCUUGACAUCCAACUAACGAAGCAGAAAUGCAUCAGGUGCCCUUCGGGGAAAGUUGAGACAGGUGGUGCAUGGUUGUCGUCAGCUCGUGUCGUGAGAUGUUGGGUUAAGUCCCGCAACGAGCGCAACCCUUACCAUUAGUUGCUACGCAAGAGCACUCUAAUGGGACUGCCGUUGACAAAACGGAGGAAGGUGGGGACGACGUCAAAUCAUCAUGCCCUUUAUGAUCUGGGCUACACACGUACUACAAUGGCGACUAACAGAGGGGAGCAAAGGCGCGAGCCGGAGCGAAUCCCAAAAAGUCGUCUCAGUUCGGAUUGUAGGCUGCAACUCGCCUACAUGAAGUCGGAAUUGCUAGUAAUCGCGGAUCAGCAUGCCGCGGUGAAUACGUUCCCGGGCCUU
rnacentral:rRNA from 1 species